GCCAGCACUUUCAGCCAGAGGAUUUCGAAACGGAACCGAAGUCUCAACUGAUGGGGUUGCCAUGUCGUCUAACGUUGAAAAGUGAUGCUAUUCCAUCGAUUUUCCCCUUCACUUCAAAGAGGAAGGCAUCCGAUCUGCCAAAAUCAGCGCAGCAGAAAAGUCCGAUCCCAUCAACAUCUGCAGUGGCAUCAACAACAAGUUCAGCACCAGGAACUAGUACUAAUCAUGCUGCUGAUGACCUUGACCUUGACACCAGCUUUAGUAGUACAGAGUCUGUAGACCCAUUGGAUGAAAGCUUUCAGCCUGGAAUAAGCUCAAGCUCAACAUCAUUUGACUUUGAAACAAGCUAGGACAGCAAAAGGUAUUUAUGAAAGCACAACACCCUCUUGAAAAAGAGACGAAGCAGUGUGUGGUGAAGAACAUCACCAAAGCCUACUAAACCAGAUGCCAUUACCCAACACAAGAAGAGGUUCUC